rnacentral:tRNA from 1 species
AGGACUGUAGUUAAUUAUAACAUUUGGUUUGCAUUCAAAAAGUAUUGUGUAUUCAAUCUGUCUUA